rnacentral:rRNA from 1 species
ACGGGAGGCAGCAGUAGGGAAUCUUCGGCAAUGGGGGCAACCCUGACCGAGCAACGCCGCGUGAGUGAAGAAGGUUUUCGGAUCGUAAAGCUCUGUUGUAAGUCAAGAACGUUGGUGAGAGUGGAAAGUUCACCAAGUGACGGUAGCUUACCAGAAAGGGACGGCUAACUACGUGCCAGCAGCCGCGGUAAUACGUAGGUCCCGAGCGUUGUCCGGAUUUAUUGGGCGUAAAGCGAGCGCAGGCGGUUUGAUAAGUCUGAAGUUAAAGGCUGUGGCUCAACCAUAGUACGCUUUGGAAACUGUCGAACUUGAGUGCAGAAGGGGAGAGUGGAAUUCCAUGUGUAGCGGUGAAAUGCGUAGAUAUAUGGAGGAACACCGGUGGCGAAAGCGGCUCUCUGGUCUGUAACUGACGCUGAGGCUCGAAAGCGUGGGGAGCGAACAGGAUUAGAUACCCUGGUA